AUGCAGCUGUUGUGUUAGGAAUGAUUCUCAUGACCGAGGCAGCAAACAAGCGAGAUGAUGUGCGCAAACGGCGCAUCUAUGCCAUCAUUGGACUUGGUCUCGUAGCCUUUUUCUUCUCUUUGUCACUCUCAAUCUUCCGAUCGAAGGCACAUGGUUACCCAUACAGCUUUCUACUUAAAUAAAAGACAGAGAAAUUAGAAAUUUAAAUACAAGGAAGUCAUAAAGGUUUUCUGAUUAAAGUUCUCAUUGCUUGUAUUCAUGGAUUUCUCUCAUUCUAAUUUGGUGACUUUAGUAAAACUUAGUGUAAGAGUGAUUUCUGUGUUUUGAUGGUGAUUUUCCAAAAAAAAUAUAUAAAAUAAAAUAAAGGUACACUUUUAGCAUUACUCAAUUGUGAAUUUCACACACUUUACGUUCUUAGUUUACAUGCUUGAAGAGGAAGAGGGAUUUGCAGGAUGUGAUUGACGUCUCGGCAUAAAAAAUGUGAGGAGUCCUACAUUUUUCCAAAGGGAAUGGGGGAACUAUACAUUGUACAUUGGUGGUAACCUUUAGUGCAAAAAAACUCAAUUCAAUUCCCAUGUCAUUGAGGACUUUCCAUAAUCAUUAGAAUUAUUUUGUAUCACUGGUGAAAUGAUGAGCCUUACGAUUUUAUAUAGAUCACAUUUGAUUAUUUCGAGAAAGUAUUUAUUUUCAUAAGUUUAUAAAACUACCAGAUUUUGCCAUAUAGAAGCCAUGAAAUAUACAAGUAAAUUAGAUGUGAGUAAUUAAUGAGCCUUUAUCAAACUCAAGUAUCAAUGACAUUGUUGGUACUUUUAUGGUUGUUAUUUGUUCAUAAGUUGAAAAAAAAGUUCAUUUAUCUUGUAUAUGUAUAUCUUCUAGGUUCACUCGCACUAAAUUGACAUGUCUCUCAAAUACACUGUUUGUCAGUAUCAAAUGGCUAAAUACUAACGAGAAUCUGGUUUGAAAUUGCUCCUACACAUUCCAUAAGUAUUGUGCACAUUGUGAAAGUUAAAUGGUGCAGCACUGAAACCUGAGUUCAUCACCCUCAAGCACAUUUCCAAAUCGUGUAAGGAGAUGUAUCAUUUCUAUUAUUUAUUUUCUUCCCUGCUGUUAAGUUGACAUUUGUAUUCCAUUCUCACCUGUCCAACUUUGUAAUGUAAGAGGAAUAAAAGUAGAGAUUCAAAA